rnacentral:rRNA from 1 species
UACGUAGGUGGCAAGCGUUGUCCGGAUUUACUGGGCGUAAAGAGCGCGCAGGCGGUCGAUCAAGUCGCGUGUGAAAGCCCCCGGCUCAACUGGGGAGGGUCACGCGAUACUGAUCGACUCGAAGGCAGGAGAGGGUGGUGGAAUUCCGGGUGUAGUGGUGAAAUGCGUAGAUAUCCGGAGGAACACCUGUGGCGAAAGCGGCCACCUGGACUGAACCUGACGCUGAAACGCGAAAGCUAAGGGUAGCGAACGGGA